rnacentral:lncRNA from 1 species
CCCAAUUUAAUUUCUAAAUAUAAAUUUAUAAUUUUAAUUUUAAUUUAUAAAUUUUAAGAAUUUAUAAUUUGUAAUCUUAAAAUUAAAAUUAAUAUUUUUUAAAUUUAAAAUUUAAAAUUUAAAAUUUAUUUUUAAUUGUUUAAAUUUUAAAUUUGACAUUUUAUAUUUGAAAUUUUAAAAAUGUAUAAUUUGCAAUCUUAAAAUUAAUAUUUAUUGUUUAAUUAAUUAAAAUUUUAAAAUUUUAAAAUUUUAAAUUCGAGAUUUAAAAAUAAAUUUUAAUUUUGGAUUCUGUAAUUUUGAAAGUUAUCUAUUUAAAUUUGAAAAUUGAAAUAUAAAAUAAAAAAUUUAAAUUCAAAUAUAAAAAUUAGAGCAAAAUCAAUAUUUUUUAUUUAUAACAACCCACUAUUCUUCUUAUUUUAUCUACUCCAACCAAACGUUAUUUUUCUUAUACCUGGACUAAACCCAAUUCUCAACCAAAUACAAAAUUACUUUAACCCCACCUUAACCCUGAACUUAACUCUAUCCCUGGAAUAACUAGUUCUUACUUAUCCCCUACCCAAACGAAGCCUAGGCUAUGUUUGGUUUAAAGGAUAAAAAAAGAAUAAAAUAUAUAGUCUUCUUAUUCUUCCUAACGGUAUUAAAAAUUGCCAAAAAUUACUAUUCUCCUCUUAACGGAUUAUUCCGGAAUAACGUAGUUCCACCUAUUGGGUGGAACAAAUUAUUCUCUACCUUAUUCCUUUACUAAUUAAAUUAUAAAUAAUUAUAAAUUAUAAUUAAUUAAUGAAAUUAAUUUUUUAAUAAUUGACUAAUUAAUUAUUUAACUUUUUAGAUUAAUAAAUAUUUAAAUAACAAUUUAUUUAUAAUUUAUUAUUAUUUAUCUAAUUAAAUAGUUAGCCAUAUGAUAUGCUUAUUCAAUUAUUAACUAAUAUUUUAGUAGUUAAAUAAUUAAUAUUUUAAUUUAUAUAAUUAAUAUAUUAACUAAAAAUAUAAAUGAUUAAAUAAUUAAUUAAUAUUAACACAUUGGAUUAUUUUUUUAGUUAUUUACUAAUUAAUGUCAUCUUUGUCAUCUCAUAUAGUAAUUUUAAUUAAUUUAUAAAGUAAUUUUGAUUAAUAUAUUUAUUAACUUAUUAAAAUAUUUUCUUACUAAUACCUAGAUGCUUAUUAUUUAGAUAAAUUAUUUUUAUUUUAAUCAUAAUUACUCUUAUCCCUACUAUUCCAACCCAAUCAACCAAACGUAAUUUUUCUUUUUCCUCUAAAUAUCCCGAUUCUUGUCCAAACACAAAAUUGAAUUAAUUCCUAUCUAUCUCAGAAGUUAUACAUAUUCCAAGAAUAAACAAAAAUAGCUUGUUUUUGAACCAGUUAAUAGCUUGUUUAUAAACAAAAUUUAUAAGUUAUCAUAUUACUAUUU